rnacentral:ncRNA from 1 species
CUGUAAAGAUAUGGUGGCUGUAGAGUCAUCCCCAUAAUCUGGAAAUGGGCCAUAUCGAGGAA